GGACACAUGGUCCUGCUGGAGAAUGGUUGGAUCUGCCUACCUGUGGGCAGGAUAGAUAUGCUGGUGAUCCCCACCCCUCUGGCACUAGUCUGGGAAGGGCCAAAGAGCACCAAGAAAUCUGCAAUUGAGCAUCUGAGAGGCAGAGCUGGGCAGAGGGAUGGGCCCAGAGGGGCUGUGGCAAAAGCUUCAGGGUCCUGUUGGGCUCUAUAAACACAGCAUGAAACUAUUCCCUAACCAAUCCUUGAAACCUGAAUAAAAAGCAACAAGAAAAGGACCCUUCUAUUACAGAAAUGAGGUACACACACCUGUCAGAAUGAUGCCAAGGAAUUUUAUGGAGAUACCAUCUUGAGGGGGAUUGCAGGAGAACCAGGGCAUCAGGCCCAGCCAGCACAGGGUGUGAAGGGCAGGUCCUGCCUGACCAGCCUGAUCUCCUGAGACCUGCCCAGGGGCUGAGGGAAAGGGAUGUUGUCUACCCAGACUGCAGUAAAACCUUCAACACCAUGGUGGACCUGCUCUCCCUUGUGUUUGGACCUUUCAGCUCAUCUGAGGGUAAAACCUGCAGUUCAGCCAGAAGGGAGGAGUGUUUCUGUGCUGCUAAGACAAGGGCACACAAACCCAUUUGUUGCCUGAACAGUGCAGAAAUGGCCUUCUUUGGCCAAACACAGAGGUAGCCAAAAACCAGCCUUGGAACGUCCUGAUGGAAGAUGCUCCAGGUGUGUUUCUAUUCAGCUCCUUCAUGUAAGAGUGGUGCUGCUCUGAGUGCUAUGGCAUGAAGUUUAGUGGUAUACAAAGUGGAAGAAAUGUGGUGAUGCCUAUUAGUAUAAGCUAAAAAACCUUUUUAACCUUAUUUAAUUCAGGUACAGAGCAAUUUCUAUGCAAGACAAACAAAUGGAGAAUCUGAGCUGUUUUAGCAUAACAGCUAUUUAUUUUCUCUAGAGUUCAAAUUAAAUGUGACCAUUUAAAAAUGGAAAUACAGUUAAUGGUGAAAACAUGUAUUUGACACAUCCACUUUUAUGUGCAGCAGAACCCAUGGCCUUCUAUAACCAGAAGGAAAUAAUAUUCUGUAACAGGGCUAUGAUGUGGUUUCUCCCUGUCAGAGAGAGGCAAAGGAAGAGAGAGGAAAUAUUCAUUUCAGGCAGAGGAGAAGGAGAGACUUCCAUCAAGUCUGUCUAGUGUUGUCAGCACCCGAGAGAAAUAUUUCAUGCUUUUUUAUAACUUUACUAAAUCAUAUGAGAACAUCAGGCUCUGAAUAAAGAAUAGCAUGAAGGAAAAGAAUGACUCAAAAGUUGAUCUGUUUUACUGUAAGCACAGCUAAACUCUGGGCAUGCACUAUUCCUGAAACUGUUUUCCCUGCUCUUAAAGGUUUAUCCUUGAAGUCUCUGACUUGCUACAGCUACUGGAGGAAAUGAAUAUUGGAGUCCGUACAGGAUGUUUGUAAUUCUUGUAGUGGUAUAAAAAUAACUUUCCCAGUUUUGAUUAUGUUGAGUCCUCGUAAAGAUAAUUUUGGGUUUAUGUAAUGAAAUUUGGCAAAUUCCUAAAGAUAUUUUCUAUUUAGCUACCAGUCUUAGAAACAAGAUUGUCAGUGUACAUCAUUGAUAUAUCAGCUGUUAGGAGUGAUAGACUUGUAGAGAAGCAGCACUUUCCUUCAUUCUUAGUGUUGUAAUUUUGAAAAUCAGUGUACUAACCUUCACUUUUAGAUUAGACUUCAUUCCUUACUCUUGAAUUUUUUAUUUUUUCUUGAGAUUCAGACUGCUAAAAAAGUUUAUUUCCUUCUGGAAUUGCGACAUUUUGACUCUUUAAAUAAAAUAGUCCUAAAUUUAA